UGACUAAGUUAUAUUUAAUUAGGGUUGGUAAAUCUCUGGUGCCAAGCCACCGCGGUCAUACGAUUAACCCAAGGCUAACAGGAGUACGGCGGUAAAACGUGUUAAAGCACCCAUACCAAUAGGGUUAAAUUCUAACUAAGCUGUAAAAAGCCAUGAUUAAAAUAAAAAUAAAUGACGAAAGUGACCCUACAAUAGCCGACGCACUAUAGCUAAGACCCAACUGGGAUUAGAUACCCCACUAUGCUUAGCCCUAAACACAGAUAAUUACAUAAACAAAUUAUUCGCCAGAGUACUACUAGCAACAGCUUAAACUCAAAGGACUUGCGGUGCUUUAUAUCCUUCUAGAGGAGCCUGUUCUAUAAUCGAUAAACCCCGAUAAACCUCACCAUUCUUGCUAAUACAGUCUAUAUACCGCCAUCUUCAGCAAAACCCUAAAAAGGAAAAAAAGUAAGCGUAAUUAUGAUACAUAAAAACGUUAGGUCAAGGUGUAACCUAUGAAAUGGGAAGAAAUGGGCUACAUUCUCUACACCAAGAGAAUCAAGCACGAAAGUUAUUAUGAAACCAAUAACCAAAGGAGG
rnacentral:rRNA from 1 species